CCUACGGGUGGCUGCAGUGGGGAAUAUUGGACAAUGGGGGGAACCCUGAUCCAGCCAUGCCGCGUGUGUGAAGAAGGCCCUCGGGUUGUAAAGCACUUUCAGUGAGGAAGAACGCCUGGUGGUUAAUACCCAUCAGGAAAGACAUCACUCACAGAAGAAGCACCGGCUAACUCCGUGCCAGCAGCCGCGGUAAUACGGAGGUGCGAGCGUUAAUCGGAAUUACUGGGCGUAAAGCGCGCGUAGGUGGCUUGAUAAGCCGGUUGUGAAAGCCCCGGGCUCAACCUGGGAACGGCAUCCGGAACUGUCAAGCUAGAGUGCAGGAGAGGAAGGUAGAAUUCCCGGUGUAGCGGUGAAAUGCGUAGAGAUCGGGAGGAAUACCAGUGGCGAAGGCGGCCUUCUGGACUGACACUGACACUGAGGUGCGAAAGCGUGGGUAGCAAACAGGAUUAGAUACCCCGGUAGUC
rnacentral:rRNA from 1 species